UGGGGAAUUUUGGACAAUGGGCGAAAGCCUGAUCCAGCCAUGCCGCGUGCAGGAUGAAGGCCUUCGGGUUGUAAACUGCUUUUGUACGGAACGAAAAGACUCUGGUUAAUACCUGGGGCCCAUGACGGUACCGUAAGAAUAAGCACCGGCUAACUACGUGCCAGCAGCCGCGGUAAUACGUAGGGUGCAAGCGUUAAUCGGAAUUACUGGGCGUAAAGCGUGCGCAGGCGGUUAUAUAAGACAGAUGUGAAAUCCCCGGGCUCAACCGUGGGAACUGCNUUUGUGACUGUAUAGCUAGAGUACGGCAGAGGGGGAUGGAAUUCCGCGUGUAGCAGUGAAAUGCGUAGAUAUGCGGAGGAACACCGAUGGCGAAGGCAAUCCCCUGGGCCUGUACUGACGCUCAUGCACGAAAAGCGUGGGGAGCAAACAGGAUUAGAUACCCUGGUAGUCCACGCCCUAAACGAUGUCAACUGGUUGUUGGGUCUUCACUGACUCAGUAACGAAGCUAACGCGUGAAGUUGACCGCCUGGGGAGUACGGCCGCAAGGUUGAAACUCAAAUGAAUUGACGGGGGUCAUAGCUGG
rnacentral:rRNA from 1 species